UGUAUAUUUUGUCUUGAAUAAACCAACCCCGGACCUCGAGUCAGCCAAACAAACAUUUAUAAAAUGGAAAGGUCGCCAAAUACACGUUAUUUAUAUAAAAAAAAUUAUUUUUGCUACGGAACUGCUUUUUCCUCUAGGGAUACUGCCGUACCCUGCCUAAAUAGCUUUCUGGGGUUUGUAAGGGACGAUGGCAAAAAGGUAUGUUUUUGUGUACAUAUGUAUGUAUACACGUGUGUACAGUUCGUACAUGCGUUAAAUAACCGAGAUUUCGUGUAACUUGCCUUGGAAAUAGCUCGAGCCGUUUCCCUACAGAGCAUUAAUGAUUUAAACCUUUCAACGUGAUCAGAAAAAAAACCCCCUGCAUCGGACAACUAUCCGGGCUCUCUUCCCUCUGCUUUUAACCAGGGGCGGACAAUUCUCGCUGUCGGAGUCCCGCAUUUGCCGUUCACCUCCUCGUUUCUUCUGUUACUCUCCGGCCCGAAAAAAAUUUUGGUGGACCUGGCAACAUGAAACUUGCCCGUCUUUGGCGGUUUUGGUGGUUCAAGAUUGGCAUGUACUUAUUUUUGUAGUUUUUAAUUUUCGUCUUCGCAAUUUAACCACGUAUAUUUAGUUUUUAUUCGUUUUUCGCGCAGCACUUGUUACGGCUGCAUGGCAACUUUUAUACAUGUACAGAUUUUGAUAUAUGUUUAUGUGUCUCGUUGGCAGGCACAUAUGUUCCUUCUUUUUUAUUGUGAAAUUAAAUUAUUUUUAAAUUAAAUACUAUCGGUGCCUCGACCGCGGGAAUAUUAUUUUCUUUUUAUUUGAAACUCUCAAACUAGGUUCAGGGAUUUAAUGCCCAGCACGCCUGCCGUUGACGGCUGACAAAGUCGAACGCCUCGCUGUACAUUUGGUUUUUACGGUUUGGCUGCUGCCAGCCAAAUAAUAAUAAAUUUAUUUGAAGAAAUUAUAUUAAAAUCGGCUUAAAAGAUAUUGAUUAUCUACCGAACCUACCUCAGUACAUUACAAGCAUAAGCGAAUACAAGUUUCUUCGGCAGCAAAUGCCACUGCAGGAAAUAAUAACACAUUUAAAUAUGCUGUUAUGCAUGUAUAUUCACACACAUACAAAUAUAAUUGCUUGCACGGCCCUCAUAGAGCCGAAAGGGAGAGUACGUUAUAUUUUGCGCGCUUUCGCUCUUUAAUCUGUGAGAGGGCAGUGAUACUGGUUUCGCUUUCGUUGUAAAUGUACAGAAGCAUUUUGUUGUAUGACGUUGCUCAUCUUACUGUUUAUACUGUCUUUGCUUGUACCGAUACCUAUUGAAUAGCCAAAUAGUUUCAAUCUCCACGUCAAGAAGCGGAGACGUGUAAAAUAGUGUAUGUUAAAUGUCUGUGGCCAUCUGGCAUCACAGAAAUUAAUUCAUUUUAAGUUUUUUGUCUUUCAUAAGUUUUGUUACACUAAUUUGGAACUUCACCACAUUACGAAAAGCACGUACAAUUUUCUUCUAGCUCGAGCUCCCUAUCCUUCAACAUCUACGCUUCUAAAUAUUCACUUUUUUUGCACGUCAAGGUGUCUGCAGCCUUCGAUCUUCAACAACAUUGAAAGCAUUUAACGCAUCCUGUGAGUUGGCUCGACUGCUGGAAGAAUUCAAGGACAUCACACAACUCAAUGCCUUAGCACCGAUGCACACAACAUCUAGUGUAGCUCACUGCACUGAGACAAAAGGCCCACCAACAUUCGCAAGACCUGGUCGACUCAAUCCAGACAAAUUUAAGGCUGCCAAAAUGGAAUUCAAGUUCUUGCUUAAAAUAGGUGUGUGCCGACCAUCAAAAAGUGCAUACGCAUCGCCGGUGCACAUGGUCCGCAAGCGAAUAGAUCCUCAUCGAACCAGGCGACGUCCAAAAGACUGCAAUAACCACACCAUUUGGAUUAUUUGAGUUUACACACAUGACAUUUGGAUUGUGCAACGCUGCACAAACCUUCCAAAGGUACAUGCAUUCCGCACUGAGGGACUUAGACUUUGUCUUCGUCUAUAUAGAUGAUAUCGCCGUUGCAUCAGACAAUAUGGAGCAACACCAAAUCCAUCUUCGGCAAGUUUUUGAACGACUUCGACGUUUUAAUCUCAAAAUAAAUUCUAGGGAAUGUCGUUUCGGUCAAACAUCAAUCGAGUUUCUUGGUCAUUUGAUCGAUCAUAGUGGCAUCAAACCAUUACCAGACAAAGUCAAAACCAUCAUCGAAUUUCCCUUACCCACAGUCGCAAAAGAACUGAAACGUUUUUUGGCAAUGAUUAACUUUAAUCCUGCCAAAAGCAAGCACUCAUCAAGCACCACUGGUACAAUUAAUACCGGGUAACAUAAAAAGCGACUCAACUCCAAUAACUUGGACAGGUGAUACGCUAAAACAUUUUAAGGAAUGA